rnacentral:rRNA from 1 species
AGCGAACGUUAGCGGCGGGCUUAACACAUGCAAGUCGAACGAGAAUGGGGGAGCAAUCCCUCUAGUAAAGUGGCGGACGGGUGCGUAACACGUGGACAAUCUACCUUCCGGCGGGGGACAACAGUUCGAAAGGACUGCUAAUACCGCGUACGUCGGCGGGGGCUCCGGCCUCUGUCGAGAAAGAUGGCCAAUCCUUGGAAGCUGUCACCGGAAGAUGAGUCCGCGGCCCAUCAGGUAGUUGGUGAGGUAGCGGCUCACCAAGCCAAAGACGGGUAGCUGGUCUGAGAGGAUGAUCAGCCACACUGGGACUGCGACACGGCCCAGACUCCUACGGGAGGCAG